rnacentral:rRNA from 1 species
UGAGGAAUAUUGGUCAAUGGGCGAGAGCCUGAACCAGCCAAGUCGCGUGAAGGAAGAAGGUUCUAUGGAUUGUAAACUUCUUUUGCAGGGGAAUAAAGGACGGUACGUGUACUGUUUUGUAUGUACCUUGCGAAUAAGGAUCGGCUAACUCCGUGCCAGCAGCCGCGGUAAUACGGAGGAUCAGAGCGUUAUCCGGAUUUAUUGGGUUUAAAGGGUGCGUAGGUGGUUUGAUAAGUCAGCGGUGAAAGUUUGCAGCUUAACUGUAAAAAUGCCGUUGAAACUGUCGGACUUGAGUGUAAAUGAGGUAGGCGGAAUGUGUUGUGUAGCGGUGAAAUGCUUAGAUAUAACACAGAACACCAAUUGCGAAGGCAGCUUACUGGGAUACAACUGACGCUGAGGCACGAAAGCGUGGGGAUCAAACA